rnacentral:rRNA from 1 species
GAUGAACGCUGGCGGCGUGCCUAAUACAUGCAAGUCGAGCGAACAGAUAAGGAGCUUGCUCCUUUGACGUUAGCGGCGGACGGGUGAGUAACACGUGGGUAACCUACCUAUAAGACUGGAAUAACUCCGGGAAACCGGGCUAAUGCCGGAUAACAUUUAGAACCGCAUGGUUCUAAAGUGAAAGAUGGUUUUGCUAUCACUUAUAGAUGGACCCGCGCCGUAUUAGCUAGUUGGUAAGGUAACGGCUUACCAAGGCAACGAUACGUAGCCGACCUGAGAGGGUGAUCGGCCACACUGGAACUGAGACACGGUCCAGACUCCUACGGGAGGCAGCAGUAGGGAAUCUUCCGCAAUGGGCGAAAGCCUGACGGAGCAACGCCGCGUGAGUGAUGAAGGUCUUCGGAUCGUAAAACUCUGUUAUUAGGGAAGAACAAAUGUGUAAGUAACUGUGCACGUCUUGACGGUACCUAAUCAGAAAGCCACGGCUAACUACGUG